AUGCACACCAUUUCAACAACCAACUGGAAUGAGCCCCACCCCUCCCUGUCCCCACACACACUGUUCAAGAACCGCUCAAUAUCUGGAAAAGAACGGCUGCUGCAUUGCUUUGAGAAACAACAGGGAGCAAAUUACUGGACGGAUUCUUUAAGUUACCAAUCAGAACUGCUGACCUUUUAUGACUCCUCGAUUCAAGAAGCCUGCCAAACACUCACAAUAAAGACUAUGGAAACAAACAAGCAAAGUAAUGCAGUAACCUUUUACUCGCCUGCUGGAGGUACUACUGUCUGCUGCAUAGAAUUUUAAAUCCUCAUCUGCAGAUGCAAUUGAGCUGAUAUUGCCAAGAACUCUGCUUUUCCUGUGCUGCUGUUAUACAGCUAUUCAUCAAAAGAACACAUUAUAUGAAAAAUGUGAAGUACUAUCAGUUUAAGUUUCUUAUAUGAUUUAACAGAAGAACUUCUAAAAUCUAGCUAAAGCUCUGCUCUAUCACAUUUUCAGAUGCAUGUCAGACACGUUGGGGGAAAAGGUCUUAUUUCUGCUGAUGUACUCCUCCCUAGCAAAUGUGUGAGACUGGGAAGCUAAGAGAAGUACAAAAAAAAUUAAAACAUCAACCUAACAUAAAAACAAUGUACCAAGCAUUAAAACAGCAUACAGUUUAUAUUGUCAACAAAUGUAUAAUAUGCCCAAAAUAACUUGAGAUUUUUAUCAGCUUUAUAACUCACAAAAGCCCAUAAGUAAAUCAUCAUGGCUAAGAUUACAGACAAGCAUCAAUAAAAAUCCCUACCAAAUGUAUACUAUUAAUGAAAGUAGGGUAUUUUACUCGGUAGUCAGCAUUAAUGUUAU
rnacentral:lncRNA from 1 species